rnacentral:tRNA from 1 species
GGGGCCAUAGCUCAGCUGGGAGAGCACCUGCUUUGCAAGCAGGGGGUCGGCGGUUCGAACCCGCCUGGCUCCACCA